GUUUUGAUUGAUCUUUAUAAUAAGUGAGUUUCUCGAAUGCACGCUCGUAUCAUGCCCAGCAGGAAAUUGUGGUGAAACGGACCAUCAUUAUCAAUCAAAUGAUACUCAAUAUGAUACUUCAGUAGCUUUUCCUUGGAAAGCUGGGCUUUACAAGAAGAAGAGUGACUCUGAUGAUUUCGAAUUUAUCUGUAGUGCUACAUUGGUAGAAACACAAUACCUUCUAACAGCCGCUCGUUGUGUGACUGAUAGCAAUGGAACUGUUAUAAGUGGUGAAUUGCUAAGAGUCGGAUUGGGAAAGAGUU